rnacentral:rRNA from 1 species
GUCUAUAGCCAUGCCACCCUGAACAAGCCCAAAUGUCUGAUCUUGGAAGCUAAGCAGGGUCAGGCCUGGUUAGUACGUGGAUGGGAGACCACCUAGGAAGAUCAGGUGCUGUAGGCA